CUUGGUCAUUUAGAGGAAGUAAAAGUCGUAACAAGGUCUCCGUUGGUGAACCAGCGGAGGGAUCAUUACUGAGUUUACGCUCUAUAACCCUUUGUGAACAUACCUAUAACUGUUGCUUCGGCGGGUAGGGUCUCCGCGACCCUCCCGGCCUCCCGCCUCCGGGCGGGUCGGCGCCCGCCGGAGGAUAACCAAACUCUGAUUUAACGACGUUUCUUCUGAGUGGUACAAGCAAAUAAUCAAAACUUUUAACAACGGAUCUCUUGGUUCUGGCAUCGAUGAAGAACGCAGCGAAAUGCGAUAAGUAAUGUGAAUUGCAGAAUUCAGUGAAUCAUCGAAUCUUUGAACGCACAUUGCGCCCGCCAGCAUUCUGGCGGGCAUGCCUGUUCGAGCGUCAUUUCAACCCUCAAGCUCUGCUUGGUGUUGGGGCCCUACAGCUGAUGUAGGCCCUCAAAGGUAGUGGCGGACCCUCCCGGAGCCUCCUUUGCGUAGUAACUUUACGUCUCGCACUGGGAUCCGGAGGGACUCUUGCCGUAAAACCCCCCAAUUUUCCAAAGGUUGACCUCGGAUCAGGUAGGAAUACCCGCUGAACUUAAGCAUAUCAAUAAGCGGAGGA
rnacentral:rRNA from 2 species